rnacentral:lncRNA from 1 species
AAUUGUGCUGGUUUUCUUUCUUCCUAAGUCCCUUUCUCUUCUAAACUUUCUAAAUCUCAGGUCCCUGGCAUGAUGAUAUUCCAGUUGGACCUUUUCAAAUUCUUAGUUUCUGGAUUUUUUUCCCUAAGUUUAAGCCCAGAGGUUUGUACUACACUUUUGAGUUUAAAGGGAAAAACCGAUGAUACAGUCUAGGAUGGUGAUCACAGACCUCUGAGAGGCUCUCGGCUUUCUUAGCUUCAGAGCAGGGGAGGCCAAAGGAGGCAUAUGUUUGUCUACAUUUACUUAUGACAUCUUGGACCCUCAGGAACUGCAGGCUUGAUACCCUAAGACCUGGUUUGCAUUGGAUGAUGGUGAGUGAAUACAAAAAGGAAGAGGAAAUACUAAUGCAGAAAAGAAAAUAGGUGGAAACCACAUGAGAGGAGAGAAUUUAGAAGUUUGGAUUAAAAAUUAACUCAAGAGUCUCAGAUUCAUCUGGGUCCUUCCCAGCUUUGUCCGUGAUUCAUUU